rnacentral:rRNA from 1 species
UACGUAGGGUGCAAGCGUUGUCCGGAAUUAUUGGGCGUAAAGAGCUCGUAGGCGGUCUGUCGCGUCUGCUGUGAAAACUCAGGGCUUAACCCUGAGCUUGCAGUGGGUACGGGCAGACUAGAGUGCGGUAGGGGAGACUGGAAUUCCUGGUGUAGCGGUGAAAUGCGCAGAUAUCAGGAGGAACACCGGUGGGCGAAGGCGGGGUCUCUGG